rnacentral:rRNA from 1 species
AAUGAACGUUGGCGGCGCGGAUUAGGCAUGCAAGUCGUGCGAGAAUCUCCUUCGGGAGAGGACAGCGGCGAAAGGGAGAGUAACGGGUGGUUACAUACCCUCAGGCUCGGGAUAGUGUCGGGAAACUGACAGUAAUACCGAAUAAUAUCUUUGGAUCAAAGGUGUGAUUCCGCCUGAGGAUUGGACCGCUUUCUAUUAGCUUGUUGGCGGGGUAAUGGCCCACCAAGGCUUAGAUGGAUACCGGGUGUGAGAGCAUGGCCCGGCUCACUGGGACUGAGACACUGCCCAGACACCUACGGGUGGCUGCAGGCGAGAAUCGUCGGCAAUGGACGAAAGUCUGACCGAGCGACGCCGCGUGCGGGAUGAAGGCCUUCGGGUUGUAAACCGCUGUCAGUUGGGAGGAAAUAUUAGGGGGUUAUCCCCCUAGUUUGACCGAUCUUCAGAGGAAGGACGGGCUAAGUUCGUGCCAGCAGCCGC